rnacentral:rRNA from 1 species
GACAGAGGGGGCAAGCGUUGCUCGGAAUUACUGGGCGUAAAGGGCGCGUAGGCGGGAUGGCAAGUCGGUCGUGAAAUCCCUCGGCUCAACCGAGGAACGUCGAUCGAUACUGCUGUUCUUGAGGAUUGCAGAGGAGACUGGAAUUCCCGGUGUAGCGGUGAAAUGUGUAGAGAUCAGGAGGAACACCGGUGGCGAAGGCGGUUCUCUGGGCAUUACCUGACGCUGAGGAGCGAAAGUGUGGGGAGCGAACAGG